ACACUAUACAGAGACAGACAAUAGAGGGCGUCUCUGUGUGUGUUUGUGUGUUUGUUUGAGAGUUUAAAAAUAAAUCUGGCACUUGUGGUGCACGAAAUUAGCAGGAGCUCCACACUUUAUGGCCAUAUUAAUGAAAUGAAUUAAUUUAUUCACUUGUUUACUCCCCCGUGUGCACCGACAGAACAAACAGACGAUACCGAUGUAGCUUAAGAUAUCGAUUGAUCGAACGGUAUUUUUGGCACACGCAAAAGCCCUACGUAUAGGUAACGGCACAUCAUAAACAAAACAAAAACCAAAAUAAAAUUGUCAGCGGGGUGGGAUGUACAUAUUUACAAGCUAACCGAAUUUCAGACGGAGAGGGAGCAUCUCCGCCCGGAGUCUGUGCGUGUGUCAAUCAACUCUUUCGUCAGCCAGAACGAGAUCAAAUAAUUGAAGCCCUCGCGCCCUCUCGUGACGUCAAUGGAGAGCGUCAUCGAAAGCUUACAGCAAGGCAAACAUCGGCUUGGAAGGACUCCCACCCUUCCCCUCCGUCUCUGUGGACUGGGCGGCGCGUGCAAGGCAUUUCCAAUUGGAAUUAGUUCUUAUCAAAUUAAUUAGACAACGGAAAGGGGGAUUUGUUGGGGGGAUUUUCAGCUGCAGACAGCGACAGGUGAAAGCGCCAGUCCACCGUCUAAUGACACCGCAAUGGAUAAUGAAUGGGAAUUCAGUCGAUUUCUGUAGACUUAACGGUAACAAAUUCCAGUGUGAUAGCUGUAAGAAUGACUAUAACAAUUUGUUCUUCUUUAAUUUAUAAAAAUAUAUGGACUUAAACAUGUU